rnacentral:rRNA from 1 species
AGUGAACGCUGGCGGUAGGCCUAACACAUGCAAGUCGAACGGCAGCACAGGAGAGCUUGCUCUCUGGGUGGCGAGUGGCGGACGGGUGAGGAAUACAUCGGAAUCUACUCUGUCGUGGGGGAUAACGUAGGGAAACUUACGCUAAUACCGCAUACGACCUACGGGUGAGAGCAGGGGACCUUCGGGCCUUGCGCGAUUGAAUGAGCCGAUGUCGGAUUAGCUAGUUGGCGGGGUAAAGGCCCACCAAGGCGACGAUCCGUAGCUGGGCUGGGAUGAUGAGCAGCCACACUUGAACGUAGACACGGUCCAGACUCCUACGGGAGGCAGCAGUGGGGAAUAUUGGGCAAUGGGCGCAAGCCUGAUCCAGCCAUACCGCGUGGGUGAAUAAAGCCUUCGGGUUGCAAAGCCCUUUUGUUGGGAAAGAAAUCCAGCUGGCUAAUACCCGGUUGGGAUGACGGUACCCAAAGAAUAAGCACCGGCUAACUUCGUGCCAGCAGCAGCCGCAG